rnacentral:rRNA from 1 species
UGGGGAAUUUUGCACAAUGGGGGAAACCCUGAUGCAGCGACGCCGCGUGAUUUAGAAGGCCUUCGGGUUGUAAAAAUCUUUUCUAUGGGAAGAAAAUGACAGUACCAUAAGAAUAAGGACCGGCUAAUUACGUGCCAGCAGCCGCGGUAAUACGUAAGGUCCGAGCGUUGUCCGGAAUCAUUGGGCGUAAAGGGUACGUAGGCGGGUAAGCAAGUUAGAAGUGAAAUCCUAUAGCUCAACUAUAGUAAGCUUUUAAAACUGCUCAUCUUGAGGUAUGGAAGGGAAAGUGGAAUUCCUAGUGUAGCGGUGAAAUGCGCAGAUAUUAGGAGGAAUACCGGUGGCGAAGGCGACUUUCUGGCCAUAACCUGACGCUGAGGUACGAAAGCGUGGGUAGCAAACAGG